AACGAACGCUGGCGGCAGGCCUAACACAUGCAAGUCGAACGAUAUAGUGGCAGACGGGUGAGUAACGCGUGGGAACGUACCUUUCACUACGGAAUAGCUCCGAGAAAUUGGUGGUAAUACCGUAUACGCCCUCAGGGGGAAAGAUUUAUCGGUGAAAGAUCGGCCCGCGUUGGAUUAGCUAGUUGGUGAGGUAAUGGCUCACAAAGGCGACGAUCCAUAGCUGGUCUGAGAGGAUGAUCAGCCACACUGGGACUGAGACACGGCCCAGACUCCUACGGGAGGCAGCAGUGGGGAAUCUUGCACAAUGGGCGAAAGCCUGAUGCAGCCAUGCCACGUGAAUGAUGAAGGCCUUAGGGUUGUAAAAUUCUUUCGUCAGGGAUGAUAAUGACCGUACCUGAAGAAGAAGCCCCGGCUAACUUCGUGCCAGCCGCCGCGGUAACAC
rnacentral:rRNA from 1 species